rnacentral:rRNA from 1 species
AUACGGAGGAUUCGAGCGUUAUUCGGAUUUAUUGGGUUUAAAGGGUGCGCAGGCGGGAGAUUAAGUCGGCGGUGAAAUUUUGCAGCUCAACUGUAAAAGUGCCUUCGAUACUGGUUUCCUUGAGUGUGGAUGAAGUAGGCGGAAUUUGUGGUGUAGCGGUGAAAUGCUUAGAUAUCACGAGGAACUCCGAUUGCGCAGGCAGCUUACUAAACCACUACUGACGCUCAGGCACGAAGGCGUGGGGAUCAAACAGGAUUAGAUACCCUGGUAGUCCACGCAGUAAACGAUGAUUACUGGCUGUUUGCGAUACAAUGUAAGCGGCUGAGCGAAAGCGUUAAGUAAUCCACCUGGGGAGUACGUUCGCAAGAAUGAA